rnacentral:tRNA from 1 species
ACAGUGUUAGUUCAACGGUAGAACUCCCGCCUUCCAUGCAGAAGACCUGGGUUCCAUUUCCAGCCAAUGCG